GAUGAACGCUAGCUACAGGCUUAACACAUGCAAGUCGAGGGGCAGCAUGGUCUUAGCUUGCUAAGGCCGAUGGCGACCGGCGCACGGGUGAGUAACACGUAUCCAACCUGCCGUCUACUCUUGGACAGCCUUCUGAAAGGAAGAUUAAUACAAGAUGGCAUCAUGAGUUCACAUGUUCACAUGAUUAAAGGUAUUCCGGUAGACGAUGGGGAUGCGUUCCAUUAGAUAGUAGGCGGGGUAACGGCCCACCUAGUCUUCGAUGGAUAGGGGUUCUGAGAGGAAGGUCCCCCACAUUGGAACUGAGACGCGGUCCAAACUCCUACGGGACGGCAGCAGUGAGGAAUAUUGGGUCAAUGGGCGCAGGCCUGAACCAGCCAAGUAGCGUGAAGGAUGAAGGUCCUACGGAUUGUAAACUUCUUUA
rnacentral:rRNA from 1 species